GAUGAACGCUAGCGGCAGGCUUAAUACAUGCAAGUCGAGGGGCAGCAUGAUUGUAGUAAUACAAUUGAUGGCGACCGGCAAACGGGUGCGGAACACGUACACAACCUUCCAACAAGUGGGGGAUAGCCCAGAGAAAUUUGGAUUAAUACCCCGUAACAUAGCGAUGUGGCAUCACAUUGCUAUUAUAGAUUUUUCGCUUGUUGAUGGGUGUGCGGCUGAUUGGAUAGUUGGCGGGGUAACGGCCCACCAAGUCUACGAUCAGUAGCUGAUGUGAGAGCAUGAUCAGCCACACGGGCACUGAGACACGGGCCCGACUCCUACGGGAGGCAGCAGUAAGGAAUAUUGGACAAUGGACGCAAGUCUGAUCCAGCCAUGCCGCGUGAAGGAUUAAGGUCCUCUGGAUUGUAAACUUCUUUUAUAAGGGACGAAAAAAGGCUUUUCUAAGUCGUCUGACGGUACCUUAUGAAUAAGCACCGGCUAACUCCGUGCCAGCCGCCGCGGUAAAAC
rnacentral:rRNA from 1 species